UUUAUUUAUAAAAAGGGACUACUAAUAUAUUGAAAGGAACUGUUACGUAUCCGGAUAGAAGCCAUACAAAUAAACCAUCGGAUGAAAAAACAGGAAAAGAAGAUGACGAUAAGAUCGUAUUCUAUGCUGGAGCAGUUGGUUUAUUAGUAAUGGCCAUUCUUAUUGGAAUGCUACUAAAUGGAGUUAAGAAUAAAUAUUGCUCUCGACAAAUAGUAUCUGAACAGAAAGAUGACGACAGGCACGAGCCAGCAGAAGCGUCACUAGAAAUGUACAGUUAUGAAUAUAUUGAUGAACAACAGAUAACAGAUCAAAACCCAUGCUCUGUUCCUCCUAGUUUGCCAGUUCCAAGAAAUGUUGAACAAAAUCAAUUAAAUGAAACUUCAGAAAACAAUCACAGAGAUUCAAUUGAUGCUAAAAAUUGUUUUAGAGUGGAGGAUGAAGGGUAUCUAAAUCCUUAUCAACCUAUACAAGUGGCGAACAUUUAUAAACAUGAAUAUAAAGCAAUUGGUGUUGAAAUUACAACAAAUAAACAAGCCGAUGAAUAUUUACACCCAUACAACUCUCUGUUGAAACAUGGUAUGCCCGAGAGUCAUGAGUACAAAGACUUGAGAAACGAAAACAUCAAAUCUGAGAUGGAAUCCUCUGAAAGUAAUAAAUUUUAGUCUUUUGUUUAAAACCAACAAGUAUAACAUCACGAACUUGGUUUCAUACUGUGUUCAAUUCAUGUUCUGUAAAGUUAUUUUUUUAUUGUA